rnacentral:other from 1 species
UGUACUGGGAUGGUAUAUCGAACAAGGACUGUGAAGGGAUAGCCGAGGAGCGGCAAAAGGUAAGCAGGAUGUUUACCCGUCAGGAUGACACAUGGACCUCUUCAGGACGAAGUCAGGGACCCCUCCAGGAAGGAUGUUGAGCGUCAGGAUAGGAUAUGCUGACAGGUCAGGACGGCCAAUGGACAACUUCGGGACGAAGAAUAAAAGGAAUAUGCUGACGGAUUACAGCAAUUCAACGGAAUGAUGCAGGGAGCAUCAUAGUAGCGGGACUGCUGCAUGUAAGACCUAAGGGCGCAACGAAAGUUGCGCCCGUUCUUUUUUCU